rnacentral:rRNA from 1 species
UUGGAGGGCAAGUCUGGUGCCAGCAGCCGCGGUAAUUCCAGCUCCAAUAGCGUAUAUUAAAGUUGUUGCAGUUAAAAAGCUCGUAGUUGAAUUUCGGGGCCAGUUGGUUGGUCGUGCCUAUGGUAUGCACUGGCCUACUGGUUCCUCCUUCUUGAAGAACCGUAAUGUCAUUAAUUUGGUGUUGCGGGAAACAGGACUGUUACUUUGAAAAAAUUAGAGUGCUUAAAGCAGGCUAACGCUUGAAUACAUUAGCAUGGAAUAAUGAAAUAGGACGUUUGAUCUUAUUUUGUUGGUUUCUAGGAUUGACGUAAUGAUUAAUAGGGAUAGUUGGGGGCAUUAGUAUUCAAUUGUCAGAGGUGAAAUUCUUGGAUUUAUUGAAGACUAACUACUGCGAAAGCAUUUGCCAAGGAUGUUUUCAUUAAUCAAGAACGAAAGUUAGGGGAUCGAAGACGAUCAGAUACCGUCGUAGUCUUAACCAUAAACUAUGCCGACUAGGGAUCGGAUGAUGUUAAUUUUUUAAUGACUCAUUCGGCGCCUUACGGGAAAC